UACGAAGGGGGCUAGCGUUGUUCGGAUUUACUGGGCGUAAAGCGCACGUAGGCGGAUCGAUCAGUCAGGGGUGAAAUCCCAGGGCUCAACCCUGGAACUGCCUUUGAUACUGUCGAUCUGGAGUAUGGAAGAGGUGAGUGGAAUUCCGAGUGUAGAGGUGAAAUUCGUAGAUAUUCGGAGGAACACCAGUGGCGAAGGCGGCUCACUGGUCCGGUACUGACGCUGAGGUGCGAAAGCGUGGGGAGCAAACAGG
rnacentral:rRNA from 1 species